CAAAUAACAAAAUGGCGGACUUAAUGGAUGCUAUGAUAGCCCUUUUAUUUAGCUAUUUGAAAAUUUCACCGAGUCUCCUUGUUGGAUUUAGAACUACCAGCGCCAGUGUACAUUAUCUGGAUUUACAGUACGUGCGAUCAGGAAGAAACGAGACCUAGCCACUGUAAGUUGUUGAUUGGUCAGGUUGCCUGACGCAACGGCAUGUGACGCAAAACGAACACUCCUCAUUGGCUGGACAGAUGGAUAAGAGGACGUAGGUGCGUGUAGUAAAGUCACUACCCGGAACUUGGAUUUGGAAGCAAACGUCUCUGUUGGAAGUACUGAAGCCUGCUUCUGUUCAAGUACUCUACUUUCGAAAAGAUGAGUUCACAGACAAUGCUAUUGAGGUUGUGCCAUCUUCAUGGCUUGGACACACUUCUGAGCAUGGCAUGGUCUGCUACUGGACGACACACAAUGUGCGAUUGCAUGUUGUGAAGUGCCGAGCACCAAAUACAACUUGGGCCAAACAUCCCGUUAAGAAAACCUGGUACGAAACAGGUGAGCUAUCGCUGCUA